CAAACCUGUGGUUGAUGUGUGCUUUUGAGUCUCGACAGACCACACAGACAGACUGCUGGUGAUCCAGGCAGAACAGUUUGAGUUUCUCGGCGUGCAGACUGCAGAGAUGCUUUGGUUUUUCCUCCUGUUGAAUAGCUUCACAUAGCUUCUUUAGCGUUAGGCUCACAGGGGGGUUAGUCAGAGGCAUCUCCUUACAAAGGGGACACUCCUUUAUUUGCUUUUCCCUCCACCAUGAGUGAACGCAUGCUUGGCAGAAGCUGUGACUGCACGACAGGACAACGGGAUCCCUGAAGAUGUCGUGGCAGAUGGGACAGGACCAAGACCAGCUUUAAACUACACAGGCUGACUUAUUCCAUACCAAAAAGGUCAAAAUGGAUUAAAAAGUGAUCCACGACUGCAGAAAAGCAGCACACUGGUUGGAAGAAAACCAAAGUCUCUUCAGCGGCAAGGUGGAUUUGCCUGACAUUUUGAUGAUGGGGAUGGGAAUGUGGCUGAAGCAGUCAAGCUAUUCAAACAAAUGUGUGAAGUAGAUGACUUCACCAUUGAUGAGCAUGAGAGGGAGAUGGUUUUAGAACCUUUCAAGUUUGUUUUUCAAAAAAAGAUUGAAGACAUGUGGCAGUUUUUGGAGGAGCUGGCCGAUCGGCAGAAUCUUCUCCUGUACUGUGAGUGUAGAUUGUGAAUAAAGGAAUUAAAGAUGUAAGGAUGAAUGAUUAUUUGUGUUUAUAUAAUUCUCUGUUUAUAACAUGACAUGUACAUUUAUGUGUUUCACACCUGCAGCUGUGCUAUAAGUUAAAAUAAGUUGUGGCUGAAUAUGGGGAGAAAUAUGGCUAUUAAUAAUGGAAAAGAUAAGUUA